rnacentral:lncRNA from 1 species
GGAUAAUGUCGGUUGAUAGAGGGAAUUGAUGGAGAGAUCUAAUCAGAUAAAGGUCUUAUAUUUUUAGUCAAGAGCUUCUGAUUGUGUCAAGAGCAUUUUAAUGCCAGGAGUCGUUCUUAAUUAAUUCCACCCGAGACGAGAAAGAGUUAAGUAGAAUAAGAAAGGAGUUAAAGCAAGUGUAGGCGAGACGGUGUAGUAGAAAGAACGAAGUGUUGCAAGUGCGUGAAGCCAGGUUCGAUUCCAGGUUGUGUCAAAACCAUUUUAAUAUUGGGCGUCGUUGUUAAUUCCACCCGAGACGAGAAAGAGUUAAGCCUGAUUUCCACUAGGCGGAAUUUUGCGCGCGGAGCGGAAUUUUUCUUUGUCUUGUGAUUUCUCAGGUGGAACUAAUUAGAAAAGACAAAGAAAAUUUCCGCUGCGCGCGCAAAAUUCCGGCUAGUGGAAAUCAGGCUUUAAGUACUAUUUACAACAUGAGCGGCCGUGUUGUAUCGGAUAUAAAUCAUUUAUGUAAAUCAACAUGAAUCUGUAUCACAUAUACAGAUACGACACGCUUAUGAUUUUUCUUUGUGUUUUCUUCAUGAAUUAUUAAUGAUUUUUUUAAGUAGAAUAAGAAAGGAGUUUAAAGCAAGUGUAGGCGAGACGGUAUAGUGGAAAGGAAGAAGUGUUGCAAGUGCGUGAAGCCAGGUUCCAUUCCUGGUUGUGUCAAGAGAAUUUUAAUGUCGGGCGUCGUUAAUUAAUUUCACCCGAGACGAGAAGCAGUUAAGUAGAAUAAGAAAGGAGUUAAAGCAAGGGUAGGCCAGACGGUAUAGUGGAAAGGA